UAAUACGAGUGGUGCAAGCGUUAUUCGGAAUCAUUGGGCGUAAAGGGUGCGUAGACGGCAUUUUAAGUCUGCUGUUAAAUCCCUCGGCUUAACCGAGGAUAUGCGGCGGAUACUGAUGUGCUAGAGGAUGGAAGAGAGAAGUGGAAUUCUCGGAGUAGCGGUAAAAUGCGUAGAUCUCGAGAGGAACACCGAUGGCGAAGGCAGCUUCUUGGUCCAUUCCUGACGUUCAGGCACGAAAGCGUGGGGAGCAAACAGGAUUAGAUACCCUGGUAGUCCACGCUGUAAACGAUAAUCACUAGGCGUUGGUUCUGUUUUUACGGGAUCAGUGUCGAAGCUAACGCGUUAAGUGAUUCGCCUGGGAAGUACGGUCGCAAGAUUA
rnacentral:rRNA from 1 species